UACAGAGGGUGCGAGCGUUAAUCGGAAUUACUGGGCGUAAAGCGUGCGUAGACGGUUUUGUAAGUCGGAUGUGAAAUCCCCGGGCUCAACCUGGGAAUUGCAUUCGAGACUGCAAGGCUUGGGUGCGGAAGAGGGAAGCGGAAUUUCCGGUGUAGCGGUGAAAUGCGUAGAUAUCGGAAGGAACACCAGUGGCGAAGGCGAUCAUCUGGGGUUGUUCUGACACUGAGGAGCGAAAGCUAGGGGAGCAAACGGG
rnacentral:rRNA from 1 species